AACGCACAUUGCGCCCGCCAGUAUUCUGGCGGGCAUGCCUGUUCGAGCGUCAUUUCAACCCUCAAGCUCAGCUUGGUGUUGGGACUCGCGGUAACCCGCGUUCCCCAAAUCGAUUGGCGGUCACGUCGAGCUUCCAUAGCGUAGUAAUCAUACACAUCGUUACUGGUAAUCGUCGCGGCCUCGCCGUAAAACCCCAACUUCUGAAUGUUGACCUCGGAUCAGGUAGGAAUACCCGCUGAACUUAA
rnacentral:misc_RNA from 1 species